ACUGCUCAGUAACACGUGGACAACCUGCCAAGAGUCGGGGAUAACCCCGGGAAACUGGGGAUAAUACCCGAUAGGCCACGACAUCUGGAAUGAGUCGUGGUUUAAACGUAAGGCUCUUGGAUGGGUCUGCGGCGGAUUAGGUUGUUGCCGGUGUAACGUACCAGCAAGCCUGUAAUCCGUACGGGUUGUGGGAGCAAGAGCCCGGAGAUGGAUUCUGAGACACGAAUCCAGGCCCUACGGGGCGCAGCAGGCGCGAAAACUCUACAAUGCAGGCAACUGCGAUAGGGGAACAUCGAGUGGCACCCACCAUGGGUGUCUGUCCAGCCGUCUAAAAAACGGCUGUUAGCAAGGGCCGGGUAGACCGGUGCCAGCCGCCGCGGUAAUACCGGCGGCUCGAGUGGUGGCCGAUAUUAUUGAGUCUAAAGGGUCCGUAGCCGGCUUUGCAAGUCCCCUGGGAAAUCCAGCGGCUUAACCGUUGGGCUUCCAUGGGAUACUACAUUGCUUGGGACUGGGAGAGGUAGGAGGUACUCAGGGGGUAGGGGUGAAAUCCUGUAAUCCUCUGGGGACCACCGGUGGCGAAGGCGUCCUACCAGAACAGGUCCGACGGUGAGGGACGAAAGCUAGGGGCACGAACCGGAUUAGAUACCCGGGUAGUCCUAGCCGUAAACGAUGCUCGCUAGGUGUCACGGCAGUCGUGAAUUGUCGUGGUGCCGUAGGGAAGCCGUGAAGCGAGCCACUUGGGAAGUACGACCGCAAGGUUGAAACUUAAAGGAAUUGGCGGGGGAGCAC
rnacentral:rRNA from 1 species